GAUGAACGCUGGCGGCGUGCUUAACACAUGCAAGUCGAACGGUGAAGCAGAGCUUGCUCUGUGGAUCAGUGGCGAACGGGUGAGUAACACGUGAGCAAUCUGCCCCUGACUCUGGGAUAAGCGCUGGAAACGGCGUCUAAUACUGGAUACGAGCCGUGAAGGCAUCUUCAACGGUUGGAAAGAUUUUUCGGUCAGGGAUGAGCUCGCGGCCUAUCAGCUUGUUGGUGAGGUAAUGGCUCACCAAGGCGUCGACGGGUAGCCGGCCUGAGAGGGUGACCGGCCACACUGGGACUGAGACACGGCCCAGACUCCUACGGGAGGCAGCAGUGGGGAAUAUUGCACAAUGGGCGCAAGCCUGAUUCAGCAACGCCGCGUGAGGGAUGACGGCCUUCGGGUUGUAAACCUCUUUUAGCAGGGAAGAAGCGAAAGUGACGGUACCUGCAGAAAAAGCGCCGGCUAACUACGUGCCAGCCGCCGCGGUAAUAC
rnacentral:rRNA from 1 species